rfam:Oryza sativa Japonica Group DNA, chromosome 8, cultivar: Nipponbare, complete sequence.
AAUGUUUGACGCCAUUGACUUUUUUAAACAUGUUUGACCGUUCGUCUUAUUCAAAAAAUUUAAGCAAUUAUUAAUUCUUUUCCUACCAUUUGAUUCAUUGUUAAAUAUAUUUUUAUGUAUACAUAUAAUUUUACAUAUUUCACAAAAGUUUUUUAAUAAGACGAACGGUCAAACAUGUUUAAAAUAGUCAACGGCGUCAAAUAUU